rnacentral:rRNA from 1 species
UACGGGGGGGAGCAAGCGUUGUCCGGAUUUACUGGGCGUAAAGGGCGCGUAGGCGGUCAGCACAAGUCAGUUGUGAAAUCUCCGGGCUUAACUCGGAAAGGUCAACUGAUACUGUGCGACUAGAGUGCAGAAGGGGCAACUGGAAUUCUCGGUGUAGCGGUGAAAUGCGUAGAUAUCGAGAGGAACACCUGCGGCGAAGGCGGGUUGCUGGGCUGACACUGACGCUGAUGCGCGAAAGCCAGGGGAGCGAACGGG